GGAGAGAUGGCCGAGUGGUUGAUGGCUCCGGUCUGAAACCGA
rnacentral:tRNA from 4 species